GCUUCGUAGUAAUCUUCGUUUGUCUCUUCUCUUUCUUCCGCCCUGGCUGCCAGGGCAAUGUUGCCCUGCCAGGGCGGACACGGGUAUCAUCACUCUUCCAUCUUAACAAACUGUCGUGACCAUCCAAAUUAGUCUCGUUCAUCCUGAAAUACAUCAAAAAUAAUGAAACUACCCAUAAAAGCACAACAUGAUCACAACCAAAUCAAAACAAGAUAAAAUAAGCUAUGAACAAUUAAACUAAGCUUGAAAACUACCUAAAUGAACUCUAAAAACACGCUCAAUAUACGACUUAUCAGUCUAACUUGAUUCAACUUUAUUUUUUGAAAUUUAUGUUGUUUUUAAUUGAUUUAAGUUUCAGGGUACUGGAUUUUUGGGAUAUUUUGUGCUGAAUUUUUGCAGAUUCAGGAAUGAUUAUUGUCUUUUUUAGAUCUAAAGUUUUUUAUUUUAUUCCAAUUCUAUCUUCAUUUUGUAUUUUAAUCUCCUCAAUUAUUAUUAGCUCUCUAAUUUGAGUGAUUUCUGAAUUUUCAUCUUUAGUUUAAUUUCUUAGUAGGAUUUUUGUUUUCGUUCACAAGUUCGUUUCGAUUUCCUUCUCUUUUGCAUUCUUUUCGUUCUUCGAUUUGAUGUGCUCGUUAUUUUGAUCUUCGCAUUGAAUUUUUUAGGAUUUGUAAUUGGUUAUUGUUCGAGAAUUAUUUACGUUUUUGAGUGAUUUAAUAGAUUUUUAAUGUGAUUAUUGAUUCAACAUUUGAUCUGAUUUUCAGUACAUGUUGUUAGUGAAUUUGUGAAAUCAUGCAUUCUCAUCAUUGGUAAGGUUUGAGAAUUUCUCGUCUAGAUGUUUGAUUCUUAGUGUUGAUUUUAGGAUUUGUGAUUUUGGAUUGUUUAUUUCAAUGGUCUGUAAAUUUAUUUGAAUUUUGAAAAUGGCUAUUUAGUUUUGUUGUUUGCGAAUUUGAAUUUAGCUUGGAAAUGAGAUGCAAUUUGGUAGUUAUGACUUUAAAUUGGUGAAAAACUUUCUGAUUUCUGAGAUCUUUAAGUAAUGCGCAAAUGUUCGUAGCUCCGAAGCUUAAUUAUGCUUGAAUUAUGUAAUUUUAUGGUGAAAUCAGCUUAUUUUCUUUGAUUUUUAGUACUUGCAAGCAUUUUUGUUAUGGCAAUCUGACAUUAUGUUGCCUGAAUCAUAUGGAUCCGGGAACUUACAGCUAGAUUUUGAAUUUCGAACUCGUGAUUAGAAUUUCGAGUGAUCUGUAGUGCCUGAUAUAGUUUCACUUACAUUGUUUUGUUAAAUUAUGCAUCUCAUUUUGUAAAUGAGCCUAGUUUGUUUAUUACAUAUUGGUGCCGGAAUAUUGAUGCAUCGAUUCUUAAUGAAUGUAGAAGUUAGUGACUAAUUCAAGGGGAGAAAUAUGGGUCUUACCUUUGUUGGGAUCUUUUGUGACAUCUUUGGGAUCAUUCUCUAUGGUGCACCUCUCACUGUUAUGUACAAGGUCAUAAAAACGAAGAGUGUUGAAUUCAUGCCAUUGACUCUUUCAUUGGCUGGUUUGUCUAAUGGAGUUAUUUGGAGUGCAUAGGCCUUCAUCAGAUUUGAUCCUUACAUUCUGAUUAGCAAUGGGGUUGGAGCCAUACUUGCCGUAGCACAACUGAUCUUGUACGCUUGCUACUAUGGGUCUACACCGAAGGAGGGGAAGCCCGUGAAGGACCCGGUGAAGCCAACAGCACCACAAGUGCAUAUGACUGUUUCUGCCGUCUAAAGAUGAUACUCAGUUUAAUCUAGCUAGGUCCCUAGCCAUUUUAAUUUGUUCUUGUGUUGGUUAGCUUAUGUGUUUUUUGAUAGCGUAGGUAGUAAUUUUGGUUAUAGCUUAAAAACACUAAUAUUAAUAUGGAUGAGAUUAGGAAAUUUUGAUGUUGUAACUAAAAUUAAAAUGGUGUGCAAAAUCCAGCAUUUUGAUGGAUUUUUUUAAAAUUUGAUUAUACAGUAUUCAUAACGGGCAAACUAUGUCCAG